UUUAAGGUCUAAUCUGCCCACUGAAAAUUUUAAUGGCCGCAGUAAUUUGACUGUGCAAAGGUAGCAUAAUCAUUAGUUUUUUAAUUGAAAGCUUGUAUGAAUGAUUGGACGAGAUAAAUUCUGUCUUUAGAUAAUAAAUAGAAUUUAAUUUUUGAGUUAAAAAGCUUAAAUUUAAAUAAAAGACGAGAAGACCCUAUAGAUCUUUAUUAAAUUUAAAUUAUUAUUAUUUAAGAUUAUUUUAUUUAUUAAUUUUGGUUUAAUUUUAUUGGGGUAAUAAGAAGAUUAAAAAAAUUCUUUUAUAUUGUUACAAAAAUUAUUGAUUUUAAGAUCCUAAAAUUUAGAUUAUAAGAUUAAGUUACCUUAGGGAUAACAGCGUAAUUUCUUUAGAGAGUUCAUAUUGAUAAAGAUGUUUGCGACCUCGAUGUUGGAUUAAAAGUUAUUUUAGGUGCAGUAGUUUAAAAUUUUGGUCUGUUCGACCAUUAAACUUUU
rnacentral:rRNA from 1 species